UUCAAGGAAAACAACAAAUGUGGCCUUUGUAGACAGGUGGUCUUUGUAGACAGGUGGUCACUAAAGCAGGUUUGACUGUACAAGGAAAAGGUGCUACAGUGUUGUAUACGAAAAAAAUGUAGGGAUCGGAAUUGAAUA